GCAGAUUCAGAAAAUUUCUGCAGAAAUUGCAGGUCAAUCAGAGUAUGAUGACUCAUCGUCAACUGUCAUAGUGAAUGAAAACGAUCUUUCACUGAAGAAACUUGAGGAGUACCAAAUUGAGCUACAAAGGCUACACAAGGAGAAGGUAUUUUAACAAUGAACCAAUAAUCGUUUGUGGGAUACGAAUUUGGUACAAGUCAAAUUGAUAAGCUCUAAUUUUAUGUUUCUCUUUUGUUGAUCAUGAAGAGUGACAGGCUCCAGAGAGUGGAAAAAUACAUAAGUACAGUUCAAAACCUGUCUACAACAUUGGGGAUGGAUUCAUCUGUGAUCAUCACAAAGGUUCAUCCAAGCUUGAAUGAAUUGUGUGGAAUAUCUAAAAACAUAAGUGACAGUAUUCUGGCUAAACUCAACAGCACCGUGGAGUCUCUUGAGGAAGAAAAGAAAACACGGCUUGAGAAGGUGAAACUUACUUAUGCUGUUGUUCUUUCCUUUGCAUUGGAGCCUGGUCUUAUUCAAGGGUAGGACCUAGCACCUGUGCUGCAGCAAAACAUGCUUAUUUAAAUACUGCCUUCAUGAGGAGUGGCUGUGAAACCAUGCAAAUACACAAUUACAUAUAAUUUAGAAUAUGAAUUCAAAGCAAAUCUAGUGCACAGCAGAGAACACAAAUGAAUUGCUUCAACUUGUCUUUUUUUAAAUAUGAAGCUCAUUAAUCAAAUCAAGCAUGAGAAAGAUAAAUGUGGUUCUCAAUGAAUUUUGACCUUUUGCAGCUUCACCAUCUCGGUAAAGCAUUGACAAACUUGUGGAAUCUUAUGGACACACCCUAUGAAGACAGGCAGUUAUUUUCUCAUGUUACCAAAUUAUUAUCUGUCUCAUCAGCAGAAAUAUCUAAUCCUGGAAGCCUCACCCUCGAUACAAUAAAGCAGGUCAGUGUCCGUAUCAUAUAAGACACCCAAAACUUAAAAGGCAUCAAAAUCACAACUAGGAUUUAAUGGUAUUUCAAAUUGUUACAAGGCUGAGGCUGAAGUGGAGAGACUGGAUCACCUAAAAGCAAGCAAGAUGAAAGAGCUUUUCCUUAAGAAACAAAUUGAGCUUGAGGAAAUAUGCAAUAGAUCACACAUGGAGAUACCUUCACAGUCAGAGAUGGACAACAUAAUGAACCUUAUUAACUCUGGUAAGAUCAAGUUUUUUUUUCAAAUAAAAAUUAUGAUGUUGCUCUUCUCUACAACUAUGCUAGCUCACAACCUGACUCAAAUGUGCGAAAGGGGAGAUUGACCACGCUGAUCUCCUCAUGAGCAUGGAUGAACAGAUAUCAAGAGCUAGAGAAGAAGCUUCUAGCAGGAAGACAAUAAUGGAGAAGGUGGAAAAGUGGAUGUUAGCACGUGAUGAGGAGCGCUGGUUGGAAGAAUACAUGAGAGUUAGUUUCUACCCAUUGAUUGACAUGAUAUGUUGGCUCCAACUUCUGCAUCUGCUUAAUUUUUUCUAUUAAAUUCUUGUUUUCAGGAUGAGAACCGAUAUUCAGUUAGCAGAGGUGCUCACAGGAACCUAAAACGUGCAGAACGAGCACGGAUUACAGUUAACAAACUCCCUGGUGAGUUCCUUAGUCUUAUAAUUCAAACCCAACAUAAAGUUAGAUGCCAAGAGGGAAUUGCAUUCACAUAACCUAAAUGUGCAGAAACAAUCCAAAUUACAAUUUUGGGCUUAAAAAAUGAAAUAUGUAAUUGGCAAGAAGAUUUGGCAACAAUUUCCCUAAUCAGAAUCAGUGAAAUCAUAUGAGAAGACUAUUAGUUUACACAGAACCUGAGGCAUUGUACCCCAAGGCUAUGUCAGAAGUCAACUCCCUGAAUUUCAAAACAUAUAUGGUUCCAGGACACCAAUGAUUAUAACCAAUUAUAAACGCACACGCAGACAUGUUUGUAUGCAUACAUGUAUGGUUUCAUCCAAUGGUUUAAAUGCAGCUCUAGUGGAUCUGUUGAUAGCCAAGACUAAGAGUUGGGAAGAAGAAAGAACAAAGGUUUUCUUGUAUGAUGAGGUAAGAUAUUCUAUUUCUUGUAAGUACGUCUUUGAGAUGAUAUUCUUUCAUAUAAUUAUAUUCUGGAACCCAGAGCACCUUAGAAUGUCUGAACCACCUAACUAUUCUAAUAUGGACUUCAAAACUGACAUCAACAAAGAAUGUACAUAUUGAAAAUUGUUUUAUAGGAACCUACUUUAAAACUUUUUUCCUCAUCAUGUUCUUGGAAUAAGUAGAUCCAGUUCAUUCCUUGCACCAGGAAGUAACAAUAUCUUAGUUUACUCGAAUCCUGUCACAAAUUAUUACUUAUCUAACUGAUAAGUGAAGGAACGAUCCAAACAUAAUAUUUGCUUCAUCUAGAAAGCUCAUCAAGUCUAACAUGCAGGUUUUCUGUUCUGGAAAUGUUAUGUAGUUAUCAAUUUUUCUAAAAUUGUCAGGCAAAUGCAAAUUAUAUAUGGUCAAGCAAUCUGCAAUUCUACCCUGAUAAACCAAAUUUGAUCUUACAUGGGAAAUGAUAGCUUUCAUUAUCCAGGUGCCUCUGCUAGCAAUGUUAGAAGAGUACAAUUUGUCAAGGCAGGAAAGAGAAGAAGAGAAGCAAAGACAAAGGGUUAGUAUCAAGUGACACUGCAAAACACAGUAGUUCUGAUAUUUGUGAAGAACAUGCAGAGAUCACAUUCUUUCUUGAUCUAUUUAUAUUUCUCUCCUAUUGCUUUUGUAAUGUUAGUAUUUUACCCACAUGAAAAAUUAAAUCCACCUUCCACAAUUACCUCUUUAUUCUUACGAAAUAUGUGAUGAGGUGGCUUCUCCUCCACAGGAGAAGAAGAAAGUGCAAAGCCAAGUGGUAGUUGAACAAGAAAAUUUGUUUGGGUCCAGGCCAAGCACCAGCAGUCGCCGCCUUUCAAACAUGAG
rnacentral:lncRNA from 1 species